GACGAACGCUGGCGGCGUGCUUAACACAUGCAAGUCGAACGGAGAGGCCCUGCUUUUGUGGGGUGCUCGAGUGGCGAACGGGUGAGUAACACAUGAGUAACCUGCCCUUGACUUUGGGAUAACUUCAGGAAACUGGGGCUAAUACCGGAUAGGAGCUCCUGCUGCAUGGUGGGGGUUGGAAAGUUUCGGCGGUUGGGGAUGGACUCGCGGCUUAUCAGCUUGUUGGUGGGGUAGUGGCUUACCAAGGCUUUGACGGGUAGCCGGCCUGAGAGGGUGACCGGCCACAUUGGGACUGAGAUACGGCCCAGACUCCUACGGGAGGCAGCAGUGGGGAAUAUUGCACAAUGGGCGGAAGCCUGAUGCAGCAACGCCGCGUGCGGGAUGACGGCCUUCGGGUUGUAAACCGCUUUCGCCUGUGACGAAGCGUGAGUGACGGUAAUGGGUAAAGAAGCACCGGCUAACUACGUG
rnacentral:rRNA from 1 species